CGUCUACUGGGAGGCUGUUGGAGCGUGCGCCGGGGAAUGAGACACGAGGUGAGCUGGUUUCUGCUUUGAAAAAGAAGCACGUGACCAUCCCUAUGAUAUUGGACUCAAGGUUCGAGAUUGAGAUUUCGCCAUCCCCUGCAGUGGGUGGCAAGUACAAGAAAAAAGAAGACGGAGGACAAGACGUCCACUGUGUCGCUUGUGGAGCAUGCCUGACUGGUUGAAAAGCUGCGGUCGGCAAAGCAGAGGGUGGUAAACCUAAAGCAGAAGCUCCAGAUAGAAAGGACGCUAUCAAGAAGACUGCAGUAGCAGCUCCUGGCACCACUGGUGGACAAUGCCGCGUCUGGCGGUGUUGGGUCAGCUCCUCCAGCUUUCCCAGCAGCAGUUCCUGCAGCUGGUGCUCCUGCUCCAGUUCGCGUUGUGCGAGCUGGUGUGGAUCACACUCGACACGUACCGGCCGCUUAUGCUGCUGUUCCAGCAGCGGUUCUUGUAGCAGGCCCACCGAAGGCACCUCCCGAGUGUGUGCCAGUGCUUGCAUAGGUCGAUGAUGAGGUAAGUUCAGAAUAUCAUUGAAUAUUCAUUUCGGAUAUUGGGCAAGUGACUACAUUUUAUGGUUUCCACAGCUCCUUGAAUGAGGUUAUUUGUAUGCUUCCUUAAAUUGAA